CGGCGGAGACCUAGGCACCCANNNNNNNNNNNNNNNGCAGAUACCGGCGAAACGCUUCGAGGAGCUGGCAACAAGCUUUGAUCCGAAGAUCCCCGAAUAGGGCAACCUGUAAAACUUCCAAUAAAAUUCAUAAGUUGGAAAGAGGCAACCCAGUGAAUUGAAACAUCUUAGUAGCUGGAGGAAAAUAAAGCAAAAGCGAUUCCCGUAGUAGCGGCGAGCGAAACGGGAACAGCCUAAACCUAUGAAUAAUAGGUGUAGUGGGAAGACAUAUAAUUAUCUCUUUUACUUAUGUUUGUGUUGUAAAACAACAAGCAAAAGAAACUAAAAACGAAGCAGCUGAAUCCUGCACCAUAGAGAGUGAAAGUCUCGUAGUUGUAAUGAAAAAUUAAAAGAAAGAGAAAAGUCUAUUAUCCCGAGUAGCAUGGGGCACGUGGAAUCCCGUGUGAAUCAGCGAGGACCACCUCGUAAGGCUAAAUACUCCUGAGUGACCGAUAGUGAAAUAGUACCGCGAGGGAAAGGUGAAAAGAACCCCCGUAGGAGUGAAAUAGAACAUGAAACCGUAAGCUGACAAGCAGUGGGAGGUCUUUAAAGACUGACCGCGUGCCUGUUGAAGAAUGAGCCGGCGACUUAGAGGAAGUGGCAUUGGUUAAAGAGUAGUAUCUGGAGCCAUUUGCGAAAGCGAGUCUGAAAAGGGCGUUUAUUUGUCACUUCUUCUGGACCCGAACCCAGGUGAUCUAACCAUGACCAGAUUGAAGCUUGGGUAACACUAAGUGGAGGAUCGGAUCGACCGAUGUUGAAAAAUCGGCGAAUGAGUUGUGGUUAUGCGGAGAAAUUCCAAUCGAACUUGGAGCUAGCUGGAUCUCCCCGAAAUGCGUUGAGGCGCAGCGGCAACGAAGAGCUAUCAUGGGGUAAAGCGACUGUUUCGAUGCGGGCUGCGAAAGCGGUACCAAGUCGUGGCAAACUCAGAAUACAUGGUAAGCCUACCGUUAGCCAGUGAGACAUUGGGUGAAAGGUUCAGUGUCAAGAGGGAAACAGCCCAGAUCAUUAGCUAAGGCCCCUAAAUGAUCACUAAGUGGAAAAGGAUGUGAGAAUGCCCAAACAACCAGGAGGUUUGCUUAGAAGCAGCCACCCUUGAAAGAGUGCGUAAUAGCUCACUGGUAAAGCGUUUUUGCGCCGACAAUGGCCGGGACUAAGUGAUCUGCCGAAGCUGUGAGAUUUUUAAUUUUCUUUAUGUACAAAAAUUAUUAAAGAAAAAAAAAUCGGUAGGGGAGCGUUCCGUUUUGGGUGAAGUUUUCAUGUAAAUGUGAAUGGACAAUACGGAAGUGAGAAUGUCGGCUUGAGUAACGAAAACAUUGGUGUGAAUCCAAUGCCCCGAAAACCGUUGGGUUCCUCCACUAGGUUCGUCCAUGGGGGGUGAGUCAGGACCUAAGAUUAGGCCGAAAGGCGUCGUCGAUGGAAAACAGGUUAAUAUUCCUGUACUGUUUUUAUUGGGAAUCAAGGGACGAAGGAGGCUAAACUAGAACUGCUUCUGGAUUUCAGUGGAAGCGUUUAGGUGUUGAGAGUUAGAAAAAAAACUAUACUUGAGCUAAGACGUAAUCCCUAUUCUUAUGCAAAUAAGAGUAGCUAGUGAUGUCAUACUUCCUAGAAAAGCUUGUGUUUCCUGGUUAUUUUAAAGUAACCUUAAACAAUAAAAAUACCUGUACCUAAAACCGACACAGGUAGGUUGGUAGAGAAUACCAAGGGGCGCGAGAGAACUCUCUCUAAGGAACUCGGCAAACUGGCCCCGUAACUUCGGAAGAAGGGGCGCCCUUAAUACAUUUUUGAAAAAAGUGGAAAAAGGCCGCAGUGACCAGGCUCUUGCGACUGUUUAUCAAAAACACAGGUCUCCGCAAAGUCGAAAGACAAUAUAUGGGGGCUGACGCCUGCCCAGUGCCGGAAGGUUAAGGAAGUUGGUUAUUCUUUUAGUAGAAGAAGCUGACGACCGAAGCCCCGGUGAACGGCGGUCGUAACUAUAACGAUCCUAAGGUAGCGAAAUUCAUUGUCGAGUAAGUUUCGACCUGCACGAAAGGCGUAACGAUAAGAGCACUGUCUCGGAGAGAGACUCGGUGAAAUAGACUUGUCCCGUGAAGAUGCGGACUACCAGCACCUGGACAGAAAGACCCUAUGAAGCUUGACUGUAUCCUGGAAUUGGGUUCGGGCUUUUCUUGCGCAGCCUAGGUGGGAGGCUUUGAAGGUUCCCUUCCGGGGGAAUCUGAGCCGUCAUUGAGAGACCACUCUGGAAGAGCUAGAAUCCUAAUAGUGAUCUUUGAAUCAAGACACUUGACAGUUUCAGGUGGGCAGUUUAUCUGGGGCGGAUGCCUCCUAAAGGGUAACGGAGGUGUGCAAAGGUUCCCUCAGUCUGGACGGAAAUCAGACUUAAAGAGUGUAAAGGCAAAAGGGAGCUUGACUGCAAGACCUACAAGUCGAGCAGGGGCGAAAGCCGGCCUUAGUGAUCCGACGGUACCGCGUGGAAGGGCCGUCGCUCAACGGAUAAAAGUUACUCUAGGGAUAACAGGCUUAUCUUCCCCAAGAGUUCACAUCGACGGGAAGGUUUGGCACCUCGAUGUCGGCUCAUCACAUCCUGGAGCGGCAGUACGUUCCAAGGGUUGGGCUGUUCGCCCAUUAAAGUGGUACGUGAGCUGGGUUCAAAACGUCGUGAGACAGUUCGGUCCAUAUCCG
rnacentral:rRNA from 1 species